GACAGAGGUGCCGAGCGUUAGGCGGAAUCACUGGGCUUAAAGCGUGUGUAGGCGGGUCGUUAAGUGUCCGCGUGAAAUCCCACGGCUCAACCGUGGAACUGCCGGGCAUACUGGCGAUCUUGAGGCAUUCAGGGGCGAGCGGAACAAAUGGUGGAGCGGUGAAAUGCGUAGAUAUCAUUUGGAACGCCAAUGGUGAAAACAGCUCGCUGGGAAUGAUCUGACACUGAGACGCGAAAGCCAGGGGAGCGAACGGG
rnacentral:rRNA from 1 species